UACGGAGGGAGCUAGCGUUGUUCGGAAUUACUGGGCGUAAAGCGCACGUAGGCGGCGAUUCAAGUCAGAGGUGAAAGCCCGGGGCUCAACCCCGGAACUGCCUUUGAAACUAGAUUGCUAGAAUCCUGGAGAGGUGAGUGGAAUUCCGAGUGUAGAGGUGAAAUUCGUAGAUAUUCGGAAGAACACCAGUGGCGAAGGCGACUCACUGGACAGGUAUUGACGCUGAGGUGCGAAAGCGUGGGAGCAAACAGG
rnacentral:rRNA from 1 species